UACGGGGGGGGUAAGCGUUGUUCGGAAUUACUGGGCGUAAAGGGCUCGUAGGCGGCCAACUAAGUCGGACGUGAAAUCCCUCAGCUUAACUGGGGAACUGCGUCCGAUACUGGAUGGCUUGGAUUUGGGAGAGGGAUGCGGAAUUCCAGGUGUAGCGGUGAAAUGCGUAGAUAUCAUGAGGAAGACCAGUGGCGAAGGCGGGUCUCUGGACAGUUCCUGACACUGAGGCACGAAGGCCAGGGGAGCAAACGGG
rnacentral:rRNA from 1 species